rnacentral:precursor_RNA from 15 species
UGUAUGAUCCGAUUUUUCCAAUUUUCUGCUCGGUCUAUCCUUGCUUCGGUUGAUAUUUAUUUAAUUAUCACUGGGGAAAGUAGACCUUGCAGUAGUUUCUUCAAUUUCCAGUUAAUGUC